CUGAAUAACGAUGUAUAUUGAUGAAUAGAUUCGAGAAUUACAACCGUCGUGAUACUCUAUCACCUGAGUAUCACUCUACUCUCAUCACCUGAGUAGACCUAGCUCAUAUGCUAAGGUUAACAAUUGUAAUCAACCAUAACCGUAUAACAGAAACAAUACGAGUAUUUAUACUUCCUUUACUAUCUCACACGUGUCUCCACUUUAUUUGUUAACCACCAUUUCACUCUUCAUUUCCCGUCACUCCUCUCCCUUCUUCACUUCCUUCUGCUUAAACCUUCUCCUCUCAUAAGUAUGCUUGAACCUAUCAAUACUCCCCCCAUUGAGAGCAAGCUUGCCCUCAAGCUUGUAAUCCGGAAAAUUGCCUUCAAACUCCGCCAACAGCAUCCAAGAAUUCUCAUGAUCCACUGAGUUCUGCCAACGUACCAACAGCUCAACAAUACCAUCCUCUCGUACCCGCGAUGCUAACACCUCUGCUGGUUCCAUCACUAUGUUCUCCAAGUCUGUGCACGCGGGAGGUACUGUUUGGGCUAAGUGAUCCUGACCCAAAGCGGCUUUUAACUGUGAAAUAUGAAAAACAGGAUGAAUCUUAGACUCUUGAGGAAGUCUCAACCGAUACGCCACCUUGCCUACGCGUUCUGUGAUCUCAUAGGGACCAAAAUACUUGGCGGCAAGCUUCUGACAAUAACGCCUAACCACAGUAUUUUGACGGAAUGGUUUCAGCUUCAAAUAGACGAGAUCACCCACUGAAAACUGCACAUCUCUGCGAUGUUUAUCCGCUUGUGCCUUCAUAAUAGCUUGAGCUCGUGCCAAGUGUUGUUUAAUCUGUGAUAACAUCGCAUCUCGUUCUCGCAAAUUCGUUUCCAAAUCAAAGUUCUGAGUCGAUCCUUCUUCAAAACGCACUAAUUUCGGAGGCUCUCUUCCAUAAACCACGUGGAACGGUGUUGUCUUCAAUGCCGUGUGAUACGAAGUGUUGUACCAAAGUUCAGACCAAGCCAAAAAUUUAUACCACGUUUUCGGAUGUCCUGAAGCAAAGCAGCGAAGAUAAGUCUCCAUACAACGGUUAAGGACCUCUGUUUGGCCAUCUGUUUGCGGAUGAAACGCUGUACUAUACUUCAGUUUAGUGCCUGAUAGUCGAAACAAAUCUUUCCAAAAACUGCUCAAGAAAAUUCUGUCACGGUCUGAAACCACUGUCUUUGGAAACCCAUGUAGUCGUACAACUUCUGCCAUGAACUUCGAAGCCACAUCCACUGCUGUAAACGGAUGUUUUAAGCCAAUGAAAUGACUAUACUUACUCAAUCUAUCCACCACAACCAUGAUCACAUUAAAACCCUGAGAUGUCGGUAAACCCUCCACAAAAUCCAUCGAAAUAUCCUCCCAUAUACGCAUUGGAAUCGGUAACGGUUGGAGUAGUCCUGCUGGAGAUAAUGUUGAAUACUUGUGAGUUUGACAUACCCCACACUCAGAUACAUACUGUUGUACUGCCUUAAACAAGCCCUCCCAAUGGAACAUCGUUUGAACUCUCUUAACCGUCUUUAGAACUCCCGAGUGACCACCGAUCUUCCCAUCAUGACAUUCAAACAAUAUCAGUGGAAUUGAUGUUGACGACUUUGGUAACACCAGCCUCUGUUUAUACCAUAACCUGUCAUCGACCACCCGAUAAUGUGGAUUUGAUAAUUCUCCGCGCUUCACCAACGUCGUUAAUCUCUGUAACUCCACAUCUUCAGCAAUCUCCUUAUAUAUUUCUUGCAACUGUAUCACCGUCGGAACUGUUAAUGCGAAACACUGAGCCCCCUUUAAUAACAACUCUUCUCUUUCUAUCCGUGAUAACCCGUCAGCAGCUUUAUUCUCGCACCCUGGUUUGUAAACAAUGUCAAAGUCGUACCCUAAUAACUUUGUUAGCCACUUCUGAUAUUCCAUGUUGACUUCCUUUUGCUCCAGCAGGUACUUAAGACUUCUCUGAUCCGUAUGUACUACAAACUUCCUGCCCAGUAAGUAGUGUUUCCAUUUCAACACUGCCAUAACCACUGCCAUAAGUUCACGUUCAUAUGCUGGUUUCAAACUUUCUCUUGCGGUUAGACCAUGACUAAAAUACGCCAGUGGACGUUUGUCCUGCAUUAACACCGCCCCCACACCGAAGCCUGAUGCAUCUGUCUCGAUUAUAAACGGUUUUGUGAAAUCUGGUAAUGCUAAAACUGGAGCUGACACCAUUGCAGACUUUAAUUUCUCAAAUGCUGCUUGAGCUUCGCCAGACCACGCAAAACUGUCUUUUUUCAAUAAUUCUGUCAGGGGCCGAGCUAUUAUACCAUACCCUUUCACAUAAUUUCUGUAAUAACCCGUGAGCCCCAAGAAUCCCCGCAGUUGCUUAACCGUUUUAGGAAUCGGCCACUCUCGCAUGCUCGCUGUCUUGUUUGUAUCUGUUGCCACACCAGUUUUGGAAAUAAUAUGGCCCAAGUACUCAACUUGAGACAAUCCAAACGAACAUUUCUUCAAGUUUGCAAACAGUUUCUGUGUAGCCAAUAUCUCCAACACGAUCUGCAAAUGCCUCAGAUGAUCUUCUUCAUUACGGCUAUAGAUCAACACGUCAUCGAAAAAUACCAAGAUGAACACUCUGAGAUAUGGUUUGAAGAUAGAGUUCAUCAAGGCCUGAAAUGUUGCAGGAGCGUUCGUCAGACCGAAAGGCAUAACUAAGAACUCGUAGUGGCCUUCUACCGUCCUGAAUGCAGUCUUUUCAAUAUCAGCUUCCUUCAUACGGAUUUGGUGAUAACCUGCGCGUAAAUCGAUUUUCGAAAAGACUGUCGCUCCAUGUAGUUCAUCCAAUAAUUGAUCAAUCACCGGUAUUGGGAACUUGUCUGGUACUGUCACCUUAUUCACUGCUCGGUAGUCUAUACAGAAACGCCAUGAGCCAUCUUUCUUUUUGACUAGCAGGACAGGACUUGAAAAGGGACUCGUACUCACUCUGAUUAUCCCCGCAUCGAGCAUAUCUCCCACCAUCUUCUCCAUGAUUGCUUUUGUGGAAUGUGGAUAUCGAUAGGGACGCACAGAGAUUGCAGACACUCCUGGAAGCAAGUUAAUGGAAUGAUCAUACCCACGGAAAGGAGGUAAACCCGUUGGUAUUGCGAAUACAUGAUCAAACUUGUCCAACAAUGUCUGCAGCUUUCUCGGAAUUUCUGGAAUGUUUGGUGUCACCUCGCUUGCUGAUAGCACCAGUGCUCCUCUUCCUCGUGUAUCAGCAUUAGAGAUAGGAGACAGUGACUUAAAAGAGAAUGAGGAACAAUGCAGGUUUGGAUCUCCGAACAAUGUCACUUUAGUAUUGUUAUACAUAAAGGACAGUUCCUGCUCCUUCCAAUCUACCUCGCAUUUUCCCAAUGUCUCCAGCCACUGAAUGCCUAAAAUAACAUCAACCAUUCCCAAUUCCAAAGCUAUGAAAUCCGAAAUGAAUUCGGUAUCCGCUAAACUGAAUGUGACAGACUUGCAGACCCCUGCGCCUUUGACUGUCACUCCAUUGCCUAGCAGAAUGUCGAGGCUCGGAUCAGCACAAACUUUCAAUUUGAGCCUCUGCACCGUAUCAGGUGUUAUGAAAUUAUGGGAAGCACCACUAUCCAACAUAACAAUGACGUUGGUUUUGUUGAUUUUCCCAUACAGUUUUGUCGUCUUUGGAGAAUGAAUUCCCAAAAACGAGUUAAGUGAUAGUAUAGCGAGUUGUUGAGCUGGAGUAUACACUAUCGUUUCCUCUUCUUCAUUGUCGACUUCGUCAAUAACCUCCAUCUCCAACCCAUUUACCACAGUGAUAAUGCGCAACUCUUUAUUAGGACAUUUAUGCGCUCUGGUCCAUCCAUUCGCUCCGCAUCUGAAGCAAAUAAAUUCCUUUCUCAUUCGAUCCAGUUCUUCUUUAGAAUGUUUCAUCCGUGGACGCAGUUCAGAAGAUGAUGUCUGAGUAUUGCCCUCUUUCUUUUGCAUAGAUGCAGAAGGCGUUGUGUGACCCUUUCUGUUCUCAUUAUCAGUCCAAUGACGAUGUGAGUUAUAACCCGAUGAUGACUUCCAAACAUGUGACUUGGACUGCUGUUGAGAUCCUUCCUCUGAUUUGCUCUUAUCACUGACCACCUUACAGAACGCGCUCGUCUCCAUUCUUAAUACUGCUGCGAUAUGAUUCUCUAACCCCUUAGGUUCCUUCAUCCUGAUAACUUCUUUCAUUUCCUGAUUGAGACCGUUGUAGAAUAUCCUUAUAAGAAACUCAUCAUCCAAUCCUGGUACCAAUUCGGAUAACUCCUCAAAUUCUGAAAUGUAGUCAGCUACAGAACCAGUUUGCUUGAUUGCAAACAGACGGCUAGCAGGUUCUUCUUCAAUUGAUUCAGUGAACCUGAGAACUAGCUUAUCCUUGAACUCCUGCCAGCUCUGAAAUCCCCUCCUUUUCAGUUCCCAGCCAAACCAUUUCUUCACAGGACCAUCCAAACUCAACCCUAUCAACUCCAAUUUCUCUCUAUCCUCAUAUCUUCCAAUGCUGAACCAACGUUCCACUUCAGUAAUCCACACAUACGGUUGCUUCCCGGAGAACACAGGCAUCUGUAUCUUUUGCAACAUCGAAUCUCGAGUAGCAAGGUUCAAAUUCCCAGAUCGAUAACCUAGCGGAUAAUCUUCCCGGUUACGUUCCCAGUUAGACGAAUGUACCUGAUUCUGUGACGUUCCCGGUUGAAACUGUGACUGACGUCCCCCUUGUGGAUCCAAUCUCUCCAAGAUCUGCCGCAUCGCUCGCAGUUCUUGACUCACAGUCUCCUGUUUCGCCUCUGAUUCCUUCAAAGCGCGAUUCAAUCGUACGUAACCGCCGCGUAAGAAAUCCAUCGUCAUAUCUUGCUCUUCUAUCUCAAACUCCUCCUCCGAGCCGACGCUCGGUUCCGUUGGAACCAUCUUUGCUUUCGACAUCGCACGAAUCGUCGGAAGCUUCAAUCGGAACGGCGAUCGUCGUCAAUCACUCGAGCGCACACCUUCGGAGAUCGAUCGCGUGUCAAACCGUCACAACGAACUGUAACCACCAGGAAUCGCACUCGCCUUCGUCGCCGCGUGUUCCGAAACAGUUUCACCGCACCAAUUGAUAAGAUCAAAGAUCGGAUCUACUGAAUAACGAUGUAUAUUGAUGAAUAGAUUCGAGAAUUACAACCGUCGUGAUACUCUAUCACCUGAGUAUCACUCUACUCUCAUCACCUGAGUAGACCUAGCUCAUAUGCUAAGGUUAACAAUUGUAAUCAACCAUAACCGUAUAACAGAAACAAUACGAGUAUUUAUACUUCCUUUACUAUCUCACACGUGUCUCCACUUUAUUUGUUAACCACCAUUUCACUCUUCAUUUCCCGUCACUCCUCUCCCUUCUUCACUUCCUUCUGCUUAAACCUUCUCCUCUCAUAAGUAUGCUUGAACCUAU
rnacentral:lncRNA from 1 species